UGGGAAAGAACCAUGGGGAUUUUUAGCCUGUUUUGCCCCCAUGCCUGGUGCUUCAAUGAUGCAGAGACGUGCUGAUGCAUUGGUUGAUUUCCCCACCUUUUAAUCUACUCUCUUCUUCUCUUUUUGACAGGUAUUCUAAGGGUCCCCCGUGCAUCAUAUGGGCAUUCUUGAGUGUGCAGAUUGCAUCAGACCUGCACCUGAAUAAUUAAUAGUGACUGAAAUAUGCAGACACUAAAGUUCUGCAGCCAAAUUCUCAGAAACCUUCCUCUUCAAUGUAAGAUCAGGAUUUUGGUUUAAAUUUAUUUUUAUUUAAAAAAAAUUGCUAAGCAGAUGCUACACUGUAAGAAGAGGAAAGAGAAUCAAAAACUGAAAGAUUGUUACUAAAACCAGUGAACAACUGCAGAGAGUGGAGACCCGGCAAAGCAAACAAAUGAAUACUGAAAAAGAUCCCCAAAGGAGAUGUAAGGAUCCGGAACUCUAAUGUCUGCCAGAAACUUCAGCCACCUUCACAGGCUAGGGCUCACCGUCCAUUGUGGAGGUGAAGACCAGAUGAGAGCUGCUGGAUUGACCUUGAUGUGCCAUGUCCUUGUGUGGAUGAAGGACCUACAUCUCAGGGAUGGCCAGCAGCAGAUGUAACACAUGUGUCCAGGAAUGGGCUAAAUAACCUA